GACGAACGCUGGCGGCGUGCCUAAUACAUGCAAGUAGAACGCUGAAGGAGGAGCUUGCUCUUCUGGAUGAGUUGCGAACGGGUGAGUAACGCGUAGGUAACCUGCCUGGUAGCGGGGGAUAACUAUUGGAAACGAUAGCUAAUACCGCAUAAGAGUAGAUGUUGCAUGACAUUUACUUAAAAGGUGCAAUUGCAUCACUACCAGAUGGACCUGCGUUGUAUUAGCUAGUUGGUGGGGUAACGGCUUACCAAGGCGACGAUACAUAGCCGACCUGAGAGGGUGAUCGGCCACACUGGGACUGAGACACGGCCCAGACUCCUACGGGAGGCAGCAGUAGGGAAUCUUCGGCAAUAGACGGAAGUCUGACCGAGCAACGCCGCGUGAGUGAAGAAGGUUUUCGGAUCGGAAAGCUCUGUUGUAAGAGAAGAACGAGUGUGAGAGUGGAAAGUUCACACUGUGACGGUAUCUUAACAGAAAGGGACGGCUAACUACGUG
rnacentral:rRNA from 1 species